rnacentral:rRNA from 1 species
UACGGAGGAUGCAAGCGUUAUCCGGAAUCAUUGGGCGUAAAGCGUCCGUAGGUGGCGUUUCAAGUCUGCUGUCAAAGCACAAGGCUUAACCUUGGAAAGGCAGUGGAAACUGAAAGAGCUAGAGUGCGGUAGGGGUAGAGGGAAUUCCCAGUGUAGCGGUGAAAUGCGUAGAGAUUGGGAAGAACACCGGUGGCGAAAGCGCUCUACUGGGCCUGCACUGACACUGAGGGACGAAAGCUAGGGGAGCGAAUGGG